rnacentral:rRNA from 1 species
AGUGAACGCUGGCGGUAGGCCUAACACAUGCAAGUCGAACGGCAGCACAGUAAGAGCUUGCUCUUACGGGUGGCGGGUGGCGGACGGGUGAGGAAUACAUCGGAAUCUACUUUUUCGUGGGGGAUAACGUAGGGAAACUUACGCUAAUACCGCAUACGACCUACGGGUGAAAGCAGGGGAUCUUCGGACCUUGCGCGAUUGACUGAGCCGAUGUCGGAUUAGCUAGUUGGCGGGGUAAAGGCCCACCAAGGCGACGAUCCGUAGCUGGUCUGAGAGGAUGAUCAGCCACACUGGAACGGAGACACGGUCCAGACUCCUACGGGAGGCAGCAGUGGGGAAUAUUGGACAAUGGGCGCAAGCCUGAUCCAGCCAUACCGCGUGGGUGAAGAAGGCCUUCGGGUUGUAAAGCCCUUUUGUUGGGAAAGAAAAGCAGCAGGUUAAUACCCCGCUGUUCUGACGGUACCCAAAGAAUAAGCACCGGCUAACUUCGUG